rnacentral:rRNA from 1 species
CAGCCGCCGCGGUAAUACCAGCCCCGCGAGUGGUCGGGACUUUUAUUGGGCCUAAAGCGUCCGUAGCCGGCCCGGUAAGUCCCUCCUCAAAGCCCACGGCUCAACCGUGGGACGGGGGGGAUACUACCGGGCUAGGGGGCGGGAGAGGCCGGGGGUACUCCCGGGGUAGGGGCGAAAUCCGUUAAUCCCGGGAGGACCGCCAGUGGCGAAGGCGCCCGGCUGGAACGCGCCCGACGGUGAGGGACGAAAGCUGGGGGAGCAAAGGGGAUUAGAUACCCCCGUAGUCCCAGCUGUAAACGAUGCGGGCUAGGUGUUGGGUGGGCUUCGAGCCCGCCCAGUGCCGCAGGGAAGCCGUUAAGCCCGCCGCCUGGGGAGUACGGCCGCAAGGCUGAAACUUAAAGGAAUUGGCGGG